CCGCGUGCGGGACGAAGGCCCUAGGGUCGUAAACCGCUUUCAGUAGGGACGAAAAUGACGGUACCUGCAGAAGAAGCUCCGGCCAACUACGCGCCAGCAGCCGCGGUGAUACGUAGGGAGCAAGCGUUGUCCGGAAUUACUGGGCGUAAAGGGCUCGUAGGUGGUUGAGUAAGUCAGAUGUGAAAUCUCAGGGCCCAACCCUGAGCCUGCAUUUGAUACUGCUCUGACUAGAGUCCGGUAGGGGAGUGCGGAACUCCUGGUGUAGCGGUGAAAUGCGCAGAUAUCAGGAAGAACACCGACAGCGAAGGCAGCACUCUGGGCCGGUACUGACACUGAGGAGCGAAAGCAUGGGUAGCAAACAGGANUAGAUACCCUGGUAGUCCAUGCCGUAAACGUUGGGCACUAGGUGUGGGGAGAACUCAACUCUCUCCGCGCCGUAGCUAACGCAUUAAGUGCCCCGCCUGGGGAGUACGGCCGCAAGGCUAAAACUCAAAGGAAUUGACGG
rnacentral:rRNA from 1 species